CUGCAGCCCGAGUGGUGAUCGAUUUUAUUGAGCCUAAAGCGUCCGUAGCCGGACUAGUAAACUCUUGGGUAAAUUGGGCAGCUUAACUGUCCAAAUUCCGAGAGGACUGCUAGUCUUGGGACCGGGAGAGGUCAGAGGUACUCCAGGGGUAGGGGCUAAAUCCGAUAUGCUUUCGUGGCAUUCGGUUAGCAUUCCUGUAAUCCUUGGGGGACCACCAGUGGCGAAGGCGUCUGACUAGAACGGAUCCGACGGUAAGCGACGAAACCCUGGGGCGCGAACCGGAUUAGAUACCCGAGUAGUCC
rnacentral:rRNA from 1 species